rnacentral:tRNA from 2 species
GGGCCCAUAGCUCAGUCUGGUAGAGCACUGCCCUUUUAAGGCAGGUGUCGUUGGUUCAAAUCCAACUGGGCUCA